GGGCCCGGAAGUACAUUUUACCUUUGGCGGGGAGAACUGCGAAUGCACAUCAUAAAAGGGGUGGAUUCAGAGACAGAUGAUGAACUGGGGCCAAUGCGUGCAUCUAGCACAGUAUCGGAGGGACAUCUGCAAGCAAUUCAACAGUUUGCAGGAGCGCUGCACGGGCCAUGCGGUGGGAAGGAGAAGGCACUGCGGAGACGGGGAAAAUGUGACAGCUGGAACCUCAGGUGCCGAGCGAGGAGCCUGGUCUUCCCCUGUGGGCACUAGGGGGCCUGCAUUGGUCCACGCAGGCUGCUAUACCAACAUACCACCGUCUGCGGGCUUCAACGAUAGACAUUUCUUUCUCACAGUUCUGGAAGCUGGGAAGUCUAAGAUAAACAGAUUCAGUUCCUGGGGCCCUAAUCCCAUGAGGAGAAGCCCCACCCUGGUGACCUCUAAACCCAAUCCCCUCCCAGAAUCUUCAUCCACAAAUACCAGCACAUUGGGGAUUAAGGCUUCAACAUAUGAAUUUGGCGGGCACAAUCCAAAUCACAGCAGAACCUGUAAAGAGUUUCAAGCUUCAGUGUGACAUGACCAGGUUUGAACCAGCCUGUGGUCAUAAGAAAAAACAGGAAGACAGCAGACCCAGUUUUGAGAAAUACAUUAGCAGUGAAAGCAGGACAUGGUGACUGGUGGGGUGCGGGAGAUCAGGUGAUGUGAGCGGUCAGGGCAGACCUCCCGGGUUUCAACCGGGGACUGUGGGCACCAAACCCCUCCUGAGACUUCAGGAGCUGCUGAUGUGAGGAGGAGGAGCAAGAAUGCCCGGGCAUCACAAACAUCCUUCUGGGGAGCCAAACUGUUGGAAGGGGAGGGCACCGGGCAGGGCCCUCAGGGUCCCAAAUGUGCCCAGCCCCCAUGGGCACUCAGGAAGUGCGUAGUUGAUGGAGAUUGGCCUGGGCAUUUGAAUCUGGAUUCCAGGGAGAACCCUGGCCUGGAGACACAGUUUGGGGGGCGAGGGGGGUCAUCCAGAUCCAGGUGGUCACAUGACACCUGGGGAUCAACUUCUCUGUGAUAUUCCUUCAUGGUCUGGUUGAUCAUGAUGGCCAUUAUGCUGGUUGCUGUUUUCUUUUUCUUUUUUUUUAAGUAAGCUCCACGCUGGGCUUGAA